rnacentral:rRNA from 1 species
GACAGAGGGUGCAAACGUUGCUCGGAAUCACUGGGCGUAAAGGGCGUGUAGGCGGGUAGGCAAGUCGGGCGUGAAAUCCCUGAGCUCAACUCAGGAACUGCACUCGAAACUGCUUAUCUUGAGUGCCGGAGAGGAAAGCGGAAUACCUGGUGUAGAGGUGAAAUUCGUAGAUAUCAGGUAGAACACCAGUGGCGAAGGCGGCUUUCUGGACGGUAACUGGACG